ensembl:lncRNA
UCUGGUAACUUAGCAACCUUCAAGGAGCUCCUCCUCCCUCAACUGACUAGAAACAGUUCUACUCUUCCAACCAACUUUACAGAACUACAACUUCUAGAAUCACUGUGCCCCAAGACAGUAUCACCUCUCCUCCUCGCUUCACCAAUUCCCAGUAUGUCUUCCUAGAAGAGGACCUCGAACUCAGCAGAGAAUGAAGCUCCUCACAGAUCCUGACCCUUCUUCUCCUCUCCCAGAUCUCCGGACAGGCACCCCGGCUCCAGAGAGAAGCCCCUCGGGCCUCGACAACCCGGCAGAGCCGGCAGGCCCGGGCUCCACUCACCCCUCAGCCCGGG